GCACAUUUCACGAAGCAGAACGCAGUCUUCAGAGAUAUCCACGUGAACGCUGUGAUACGUCUGACCUUCAGUCCGAAAAAGAAAACCCGGACCAGUCUUAAAAGAAAGCACAAGUAAAACCUUUUUAUUCACAAACAUAUCUUUGAUUGUUAAGAAUUUAUGAUCUUGUCUUUUAUACAUAUCUGUGGUGCUUGCAUACUGCAAUAUCACCACAUAAUAUAGUCCAAAAAGUGGAAGUUUGUAAACUUUUUAAAAAUGCAAAGCCGUGUACACUUGUGCACUUCAAAAAUUCAUUGUAUACUGUACCUUCUUGCACGUCUCUGUUUCCUGUGUGUGUUGUUAGAAAUCAAACUAACUUUAGGAAACAAUAUGCCAAAAGCAUAUUUACAAUUACUUAAGACCGUUUUUAAUUUCUUUUCUUUAGACUAAAUCCCCUGUACACAUAUAUGGACUCAGAGGAUGAGCAGCCUACAAAAAAACGGUUUCCCCAGGACCCUCGAGUGAAAAUACCAGGUAAUAAAAUACUGUCUAGUGUCUGUGUACAUAUCUGUGUCUGACACGAGGAAACUUUUUUGACAAGUUGUCUGUAUUCUUAAAUACUUAAAAAAUUAUCUUUUUCUAAACAGCCCUCAUCACUCCGCAGUCUGCCCCCCAGCCCACUGAUAGCAACCAUCAUAAUGCCCCACCCAGCUUCCGGCACCUUUCGCCACUCCGGCACAAACCGACACAGCUUUGCGAUCUCGCCAGCAUGCAGAGUCUGAUGUCUUCCCUAUAGAUGAUUCCAGAGACUCUGUGAGGCCACUAUUACAAGGUGAGACGCUUUGCGUUGAUUGGUGCUGCUGGACCACACUGGAGGUGCGAGUCCGCCGUGUAAUGGUUUAUGCCAUUACAAAGGAGCUGGCCUCUGUACUCAACUGGGCAGGGAAAAAAAAACCAAGGACCAGACAAAGCAAAAAAGGGCAUUUAAAGAUACAGCGCUGUGCAGAUGCAUAUUUGGUAAGUUUUAACAUUUAUUGUACUUUUAUGAGCCUAAAGUG
rnacentral:lncRNA from 1 species